rnacentral:rRNA from 1 species
AUUGAACGCUGGCGGCAGGCUUAACACAUGCAAGUCGAGCGAGCGGCGGACGGGUGUGUUAUGUCUGGGACACUGUCUGAGAGAGGGGGAUCUCCUCUGGAAACGGUAGCUUAUACCGCAUACCCUCAUGUGCGCCCAUAUGGGUAUAGCUUGUAGGUGGGGUAAUGGCUCAUUUAGGCGACGAUCCCUAGCUGGUCUGAGAGGAUGACCAGCCACACUGUAACUGAGACACGGUCCAGACUCCUAGGGGAGGCAGCAGUGGGGAAUAUUGCACAAUGGGCGCAAGCCUGAUGCAGCCAUGCCGCGUGUGUGAAGAAGGCCUUCGGGUUGUAAAGCACUUUCAGCGAGGAGGCGUUACUCGCAGAAGAAGCAACGGCUAACGCCGUGCCAGCAGCCGCGGUAAGAC